rnacentral:rRNA from 1 species
CCUACGGGAGACAGCAGUAGGGAAUAUUGCUCAAUGGGGGAAACCCUGAAGCAGCCACGCCGCGUGGAGGAUGAAGGUUCUCGGAUUGUAAACUCCUUUUGUUAGAGAAGCUAAUGACGCUAUCUGACGAAUAAGCACCGGCUAACUCCGUGCAAGCAGCCGCUGUAAUACGGAGGGUGCAGGCGUUACUCGGAAUCACUGGGCGGAAAGAGGGCGUAGGCGGGAUAGCAAGUCAGAUGUGAAAACCGUGGGGUUAACCAUAGAACUGCAUUUGAAACUGGUAGUCUAGAGUAUGGGAGAGGUAGGUGGAAUGCUUGGUGUAGGGGUAAAAUCCGUAGAGAUCACGAAGAAUACUCAUUGCGAAGGCGACCUGCUAGAGCAUAACUGACGCUGAUGCGCGAAAGCGUGGGGAGCAAACAGGAUUAGAUACCCGAGUAGUC